AUUGAACGCUGGCGGCAUGCUUUACACAUGCAAGUCGAACGGCAGCACGGGUGCUUGCACCUGGUGGCGAGUGGCGAACGGGUGAGUAAUACAUCGGAACGUACCUUAUCGUGGGGGAUAACGCAGCGAAAGCUGUGCUAAUACCGCAUACGCCCUGAGGGGGAAANCGGGGGACCGUAAGGCCUCGCGCGAUUAGAGCGGCCGAUAUCUGAUUAGCUUGUUGGUGGGGUAAAAGCCCACCAAGGCAACGAUCAGUAGCUGGUCUGAGAGGACGAUCAGCCACACUGGGACUGAGACACGGCCCAGACUCCUACGGGAGGCAGCAGUGGGGAAUUUUGGACAAUGGGGGCAACCCUGAUCCAGCAAUGCCGCGUGAGUGAAGAAGACC
rnacentral:rRNA from 1 species